UACGUAGGGGGCUAGCGUUGUCCGGAAUCAUUGGGCGUAAAGAGCGUGUAGGCGGCUCGGUAAGUCCGCUGUGAAAGUCCAGGGCUCAACCCUGGAAUGCCAGUGGAAACUGUCGAGCUAGAGUCCGGAAGAGGCGAGUGGAAUUCCUGGUGUAGCGGUGAAAUGCGCAGAUAUCAGGAGGAACACCAAUGGCGAAGGCAGCUCGCUGGGACGCGACUGACGCUGAGACGCGAAAGCGUGGGGAGCAAACAGG
rnacentral:rRNA from 1 species